rnacentral:rRNA from 1 species
UACAGAGGUCUCAAGCGUUGUUCGGAUUCAUUGGGCGUAAAGGGUGCGUAGGCGGCGCGGUAAGUCGGGUGUGAAAUCUCGGGGCUUAACUCCGAAACUGCAUUCGAUACUGCCGUGCUUGAGGACUGGAGAGGAGACUGGAAUUUACGGUGUAGCAGUGAAAUGCGUAGAUAUCGUAAGGAAGACCAGUGGCGAAGGCGGGUCUCUGGACAGUUCCUGACGCUGAGGCACGAAGGCUAGGGGAGCAAACGGG